UAAUGGAACCUGAGGAUAGAAUCGGAACAGAACUGGAGGAUAGAAUUCUAAUGGAACCUGAGGAUAGAAUCGGAACAGAACUGGAGGAUAGAAUUCUAAUGGAACCUGAGGAUAGAAUCGGAACAGAACUGGAGGAUAGAAUUCUAAUGGAACCUGAGGAUAGAAUCGGAACAGAACUGGAGGAUAGAAUUCUAAUGGAACCUGAGGAUAGAAUCGGGACAGAACUGGAGGAUAGAAUUCUAAUGGAACCUGAGGAUAGAAUCAGGACAGAAGUGGAGGAUAGUGUUAAUUUAUCCAGAAGGUUUUGAUGCUGAGGAGCCAGAUGGGAUUCUCUUUGAGCCAGAGGACAACAAGAGGGAGAUGAGGAGGAUGAUAACAUCUAUGCCACAUGGAUGGGCCGCUACAAGAAAGCAGCAGAACAGGAGGACAAGGAUAAAGAGGUGGAGAAAAGAGAGACGGUGAUAGAGGAGAGGAAGAACAGCUUCGAACGACAAGCUCCACCACGGGCAGACCGUCGGCAAUCACUACCCUGUCCAGCUCAACUCUCAGCGAUGAUACAGUUGUCUCGUCUCCAUACCACUACUAGGGCCACGUCUCCUGCCAGGCCAAACUCCCUGCAAUGCAUCUCAUCCAUGAAUGAUCCUGGCUGCCCGAUACCAGCCAAUACUGAGCGACGAUCCUCCAUGAUUCCAUCCGCCAUUCCAGAUUAAAAUGCAAACGCGGUUCCGCAGGCGGAACGUCAUGUCUCCGGUACGCUGGCGGUGUGUGUGAUGGCCAGAGCGACACUGAUUGUGUGGGUCUCAUCUGAUUGUGUGGGUCUCAUCUGCCAUGAUGUCCUGCACAGAGGAGGGAGUGUUUCUCUCUCACACACUCUUUCUCUCCCUCUCCCUGAAGUGUAUAUAGGAGUGGCUGUGGAGGAAGCAGGCGUGUUGUGUGCAGGUGGUGCUCUUGCCAGAACCACUCUACUGGAGCUCCACUCGAGUCAAAGUACCCUGAGAACCACGUAGAGCCUAGAACUGGACAGAAACACCUAGAACUGGACCCAACCUCCCACAACUGCAUAUAGUUGGAAAGAACUGCCUAGACAGAACUACACCGAACCUGGAAGAACUACCCAGAACCGGUGAAGAACUGCAGAAAAACACUCAGAACUGCCUAGCGUUGUAAUGAACCUUGCAGAACUGCUUAGAUACGGACAUCACUUAUUUUUAUUUAUUUUAUUUUACCUUUAUUUAACUAGGCAAGUCCGUUAAGAACAAAUUCUUAUUUUCAAUGACGGCCUAGGAACAGUGGGUUAACUGCCUGUUCUGAAUCUAGAGUGCUGUGCUGAGAGAGACCUCUGUAUUCCCACAAAUCCCAAUAAUCCAGUAUCUUUCAAAAUAGUUAGUGUGAUAGUGUAUGAGUGAAAUGUAUGGAUGUUUUUCCAAAGGUUUUACUUCUAAGAAUCAAUUCAACGUGUUUAUUUCAAGAUGUUGUUUGUUUAGUCAAAUAAGGGCAUUUACAUUUUUACAUUGUAUCCCAUCUACGUCUUUGUUUUCCCCUAGUCAUUGAAUAAAAUACUUGGUUGUUCUAAUGGUCAAAUG